rnacentral:rRNA from 1 species
UACAGAGGAGCCAAGCGUUGUCCGGAUUGACUGGGCGUAAAGCGCACGCAGGCGGACGCGCGCGUGGGGUGUGAAAUCUGGCCGCUUAACGGCCAGGCGCCAUCCCAUACGGCGCGUCUGGAGUGAUGCAGAGGUCGGUGGAAUUGCCGGUGUAGUGGUGAAAUGCGUAGAGAUCGGCAGGAGCACCCAGGGGGAAACCAGCCGACUGGGCAUCUACUGACGCUGAGGUGCGAGAGCGUGGGGAGCGAACCGG